UUCACUCCAACCAAUCUAAAUUCACAGAAUUCUUAUAAUCACAGACUUCCUUUGUCAAAACACACACACAACUCUCAAUAAAUAAUAAUCAUAAUCUUCCAUCCAUAAUCAAUCUUCCAAUAACUUCUCAUAUAAUUCAAUCACUCAGUACUCCAAUUACAUAAUCAAUAACUCAUAAAUCAAUCUCUGAUUUAUUCUACAGACUCACUUCUCAAUAUUCAGAAACUAUCCAUUAUUCUUCAACAACAAAGAAAACAAAAGAAACAAAGAGGAAGCACCAAGCUUAACCCCGGUUCAUGACUAUCACAGUUUGGCAUUUUCUUCCUCUCUCCCAUCCUCCUUAUACUACCCCAAGAUACCAACUCCUAUACUACAGAUGAUAACUACUUUUUCUGACUAUUCAUCCAUUCUAUCUAUUGAACCACCUUUUCA
rnacentral:lncRNA from 1 species